GAUGAAGAACGUAGCGAAAUGCGAUAAGUAAUGUGAAUUGCAGAAUUCAGUGAAUCAUCGAAUCUUUGAACGCACAUUGCGCCCGCCAGUAUUCUGGCGGGCAUGCCUGUUCGAGCGUCAUUUCAACCCUCAAGACCCCUUUGGGGGACUUGGUGUUGGGGACCGGCACAGGGGCCUGCCUGCUUGUCUUGCAGCGCCCUCGCCGCCCCCGAAAUGAAUUGGCGGCCUCGUCGCGGCCUCCCCUGCGUAGUAGCACAAACCUCGCAACGGGAACGUGACGGCGGCCACUGCCGUAAAACAACCCAAUUUUAUUAGAGUUGACCUCGAAUCAGGUAGGAAUACCCGCUGAACUUAAGCAUAUCAAUAAGCGGAGGA
rnacentral:misc_RNA from 1 species